GAUGAACGCUGGCGGCGUGCCUAAUACAUGCAAGUCGAGCGAACAGACGAGGAGCUUGCUCCUCUGACGUUAGCGGCGGACGGGUGAGUAACACGUGGAUAACCUACCUAUAAGACUGGGAUAACUUCGGGAAACCGGAGCUAAUACCGGAUAAUAUAUUGAACCGCAUGGUUCAAUAGUGAAAGACGGUUUUGCUGUCACUUAUAGAUGGAUCCGCGCCGCAUUAGCUAGUUGGUAAGGUAACGGCUUACCAAGGCAACGAUGCGUAGCCGACCUGAGAGGGUGAUCAGCCACACUGGAACUGAGACACGGUCCAGACUCCUACGGGAGGCAGCUGUAGGGAAUCUUCCGCAAUGGGCGAAAGCCUGACGGAGCAACGCCGCGUGAGUGAUGAAGGUCUUCGGAUCGUAAAACUCUGUUAUUAGGGAAGAACAAAUGUGUAAGUAACUAUGCACGUCUUGACGGUACCUAAUCAGAAAGCCACGGCUAACUACGUG
rnacentral:rRNA from 1 species